UGUGAAUAUGUUUUUUCAGUUUAAAUUCAACAACAAACUUACAAAACAGCAACAACACAAUUCAAUAAACAACAGAAACUAAACCCUAAUAAAGAAUAAAAAGGCAACUAUAUAUAUUUCCAACAACUAGGCACCUAUAGAAGUGUCAUUUUAUCUGCAUCAUAACAUCAAUUUUCAGUUUUAUCUAUUAAUUAUCUUACCGUUAAUAAUCCAUAAUAGAUCCUUGCAUAAUGUGCAUAACAACCACCAGCAGUUAUACAAAUGAAAGAAUCAGUAUCAUCCUUAGAAAUGCAAAGUGGUAAAUUGGGAACCAUGAUAAUGUUAUUCAUAAACAUUUUAAAUCAACAUGUUCUCAAAAAUAUGGAAGACAAGCAAUCAUACUGGUAAAAAUAACAAGUAAACUGGAGGGGAAUAAAAAUGUGAAA
rnacentral:misc_RNA from 1 species